AUUUGGGGUCCCUUCCAGUUCUAUGAGAUAGGUAUAUCUCCAUAUAUUUUUUAUUAUUAUUUAUUACUGUAAUUGUAUUAAAGAAAAUUUUAGUUUUUUUUUUGGUGUGCAUUACAAACUGAAAUAAACUUAGUGGUAUAUUUGCAAACAGAGUUUGUAGCUCCCAGUGUCAGCUAGCAAAGCAAGCAAUGGAAAACCAUUGUCAGUUGGAAUGCUCAGAGUUGCACUGACAUCUAUUGUAUGCUCAGUUUGAGGCAAGUACCAAAGUUAGAAUCAUAGAAUCUCAGGGGUGGAAGGGCCCUCAGGAGGUCAUCUAGUCCAACCCCCUGCUCAGAGCAGGACCAAUCCCCAGACAGAUUUCUGCCCUAAAUCCCUAAAUGACCCCUUCAAGGAUUGAACUCACUAUUCCCGAUAGGAUUCCUCUCCCUUCUCAGAUGCUACCUAACUCUCCCUUCUCUGGGGAAACAAAUGUCCUUUUUAAUCCAAUCUGAGUGCUGGGAUAGUCCAGGAUUGGUGGUGGGUAAUGGACUUCCAAAGUAAAGCUUUAUAGGCUCUUGUAAAAACAGUCCCCAUCAACUGGUCCUAGUCAAAUAUUCUGUUGGCCUUCUGAAAUAAUUCUAAUCUUGGGGAGGGUUAGAGGAGCUUUAUAAAUGAAAUUAAUUUUUCUGAUAAACUUGUUUUUGUAUCUGUUUCAGGCUUAGUGGUUGUAAAAUCUACUGGGCUACUGACGUGUUUCUAGGUCUGGCAGACCAGAAGCUGGGAAUGGGAAUAACGUACUCAUCCUUUUAACCCUCAGAGUCCGAUUUAGAGGUAAGACCUAAAUAAUAAUUUAGAAGUAAAAUAGAUGUAAAAUUGUAGGUAUUUAGUUAAUAAAAAUGAAAUGGUCUGAGUAGCGAUUGGAUUUCUUUUCCACCCCCAUUUCUACCCUUUAAAAUUCCCAUUCUAAAGCAUCUCAAGAAGUCUCCCUUUCAGGCCUGAUCGAAACACACAAAUUGCACCAGUUUAAUCGAAUCAGUUUAAAAACUGAUGCCGCUGAACUGCUGCAGACCAAUGGUUUAACUUGCAUUGGUAGGUUUACACUGGUACAUUAACUGGUAAAGUUGCUCUGAUUUUACGUAAACAAGUACAGCUUAUAUGUGUAGAUAGGGCCUCCAUCAGCUCUGUGUAGUCUAGGAAUCUAAUGUUCCAUUAUGGAUGCAAGAGUCCAGUUGGAAUGCAGAGUAGGGCUGACAAGAAAACAAGAUUUCCAUGUUGUGAAAAGCCGAGGGUUUGGAAUGUUCAUUCCUGUGGGAAUGAAAUCUAGCUCUUGUGAAGCUUUUCACGGAAAACGAGAUCUCCUCCUACUCCUCCCCCCCGUAUAGCCAAUAGUCCAGUGCACUCACCAGGGAUGUGGGAGACCAAAGUUGUAGGCCCUGCUUUGCCUGAUUCAGAGAAGGGACUAGAUCCUGGGCUUCCCACAUCCCAGGUGUGUGCUCUCAUCACUGAGAUAUAGAGUCUGUCUCGCUCACACAAUCUCCUGUUGAAAUUGUUCCACUUCAUAUGGACUAAUUAUUCACUGGGCCAGAAAGAGACGGACUCUAUAGCCCAGUGGCUAGGGUAUGCUCCUGGGAUGUGGAAGAGCCAGGGUUGAAUUCAGGCAGCAGACCCCUCUACUGAUUUUGAUCAAACUCUUGUUUGACUAGAAAUGCUAUACCUGACCUGGCAAACAGAGACGCUACAGAACAAGCAAUACCCUAAUGGUUAGGCUAUGGGAGAGCCAGGUUCAAGUCCAUGCUCUGCCUGUAUCAGACCUAAUGAAAGUUUGAUCAAAACGGGUAUGUCUCCACAACAUUUCGGUUUUGAUGAAUUGGCAUUUUCCAGUAAAAGUUUCAGCUAAGUUCCCUGCUGUAAUACAGAGUGCGUCUGGAAUGUAGUCUGUGUAAACCUCAAGCCUGGCUAGUUCCUUUCAUGCAUCAUAGAAACUAAUGUAUACCCAGUGACCUGGGGUCUGCAUUAAACUGUAGUGAAGCAGGGCUAUGUGUAAAACGUUUUAAUUAAAAUUAACACCUCUCCUAAACUCUGUGUUCGGCUUUAAAUUGUACAAAGGGUGUGAAUAUUUUUACACUGGAAAUGCUCCCAGACCCUCAGCAUCAGGUUGUACAUCAUUCUCUUAUUCUCACAACUGAGAAUUUUUACUUAUAGCGUUAAAAACUAAAACUUCUUCUCUUAAUUCAAAAGAUCCGGAGCCCCCGCUGCUGUAGAUUUUGUAUGUGUGAUCUACUUACUGCCCUUGAUGUGGCAUCUGACUGUGUGUACACAGUGGGUGUUGCUUCCACUGCUGAAUGCAGCCACCUCUUGGGUGGUACCUGGGUUACUUACUAGUGCUAACUACUCUGCAGGUCAAGGCUAGAAGUGAAGGUUUUCUCUAUGCUAUCCUAGAUUUCAGUGGGAUAAGCCAGAAGGUAGAUGAUGGCAUUGGAGUUUCCUCUUCAUAGAGGAAUUAACACACUGCUGUCUCUCUUACAGAUGGUGCUAUGUUCAAUCCUGUGGUGUUUUCUUUAUUUAAUAUUACUGCAGUUAACUGGCCCUGCAAAGGGAAAAGUUGAGGGUCAUGGAAUGGUUCAAAGAGGAGUUCUGAAGUUUUGAUGCAUUUUUGACCUAAUGAUGAAGCUGGAAGUUACAUUUAUUCACUGAUCUUUUCAGGCCUAAAGGCGACUGAAAUGCAUUCUGGGGUGGGAACAUUUUAGCUGGCAGGCCACUCAGUUACCAGGCUGAAUGGAAGGUUAUUUAUUUAAUGUCUUCAAUUCCUGGAUUUCCCUUGUAUUUCAAAUUCAGCUCAUAAGAGAGCCUGACAAAGUUGCUGUGAAUAUUGAUGCUGUAUAUAUGGCACUUUUUGUAAAUGUGAAGCAAACUUGAAUGAUGUGUUUUGUAUACUGCAACAGUAGCAUUGUAAUCCCACCUUCUUUUUUUUAUUCCAAAUAAACAGAUUAGUUCUUGUA